AGGCCAGUAGCUCAAGUCGGUAGAGCAGCGGUCUCCAAAACCGCAGAUUGUGGGUUCGAUUCCCUCCUGGCCUG
rnacentral:tRNA from 2 species